UACGAAGGGGGCUAGCGUUGCUCGGAAUUACUGGGCGUAAAGCGCACGUAGGCGGCUUUCUAAGUCGGGGGUGAAAUCCUGGAGCUCAACUCCAGAACUGCCUUCGAUACUGGAGAGCUUGAGUCCGGGAGAGGUGAGUGGAACUGCGAGUGUAGAGGUGAAAUUCGUAGAUAUUCGCAAGAACACCAGUGGCGAAGGCGGCUCACUGGCCCGUUACUGACGCUGAGGUGCGAAAGCGUGGGGAGCAAACAGG
rnacentral:rRNA from 1 species